rnacentral:lncRNA from 1 species
UCGAAAGUAGCAUUUGACUAUGUCGAAGUAACUAGUCGAGGUGUAAGAGUCGGUUGUAUUCGAUUGAGUCGAAUACAACAUUUUAGUUGUUGUGUCAAUGUUGAAAUGUAAUUUGUAAUUUUGUACUUUGCAUUUUGUAUGUUUUGGACAUCGGCGAAUUUAUAUAGUUUUGAACCUGAGUUUUAAUUGCCUAUUUAAAGACAUUAAAUGAUGUAAAUC